AUUGAACGCUGGCGGAAUGCUUUACACAUGCAAGUCGAACGGCAGCACGGACUUCGGUCUGGUGGCGAGUGGAGAACGGGUGAGUAAUGUAUCGGAACGUGCCCAGUCGUGGGGGAUAACGUAGUGAAAAUUACGCUAAUACCGCAUACGAUCUAUGGAUGAAAGCGGGGGAUCGCAAGACCUCGCGCGAUUGGAGCGGCCGAUAUCAGAUUAGGUAGUUGGUGGGGUAAAGGCCCACCAAGCCAACGAUCUGUAGCUGGUCUGAGAGGACGACCAGCCACACUGGAACUGAGACACGGUCCAGACUCCUACGGGAGGCAGCAGUGGGGAAUUUUGGACAAUGGGCGAAAGCCUGAUCCAGCCAUUCCGCGUGCAGGAUGAAGGCCCUCGGGUUGUAAACUGCUUUUGUACAGAACGAAAAGGUUUCUACUAAUACUAGGAGCUCACGACGGUACUGUAAGAAUAAGCACCGGCUAACUACGUGCCAGCCGCCGCAGUAA
rnacentral:rRNA from 1 species